GGCAGUAUGCCUGUGGCCUUUGAACGCACCACACAAGUGCCUAAAUCUAAUUGGUUGUGGCGCUGGCUGCCUGUAUAUAGAGGACCCUCCCCUACCUGGUUGACAUGACGUUGUUUUCCUUCCGGUUCAGACCUCGGUGUUGGUUGGUGCUGCACGCUAGCUGCAAAUUAAUGCACGCGCGCAAAUGAUGCGCUAACGACGCUCUGAUCGCCGCCGCCUGUACAAGUUCUACGUUUCCUCCUUCCUUUUAGAGGCACUACAUAGAGAACUCAGCGGUAGGUGAAGUGCUGAAGUUUGGAUGCUUUUAGAUUCCAUUUCUAACAUUUAUUUUUGAUAGCCGCUGCCGUUUGUCCUUGGCCGGCUGUUUGCCCGCUGUUCUGGUUGUCCUCGACCGACGGUCCGCCUGUCAACUGGAUAAUCUGUCGGCUGCCUACCUGUCGUCCUGGUUGCUGGCUGUAGGCCCGCCGUCCUGGUCGGCGUAAAGUUGGCUCCUACCACUCGUCCAGUGUGGCUGAAUUGGGCCGAUUGGUGAUCAGCUCGGACUAAUUUUCUACUGCCGCUCUGAGUGGCGUCUGCUACGGCGGAUCGGUUUCUCCCUGGACGACUCUUAAUUUGGACUAUUGCUGCUUGAUUGUGGGCUGAACUGCAUAAUUGUAUUGUUUGUAAUUUGCAUGUCUCUCUUCUAUUUUUUUGUGAUAGGAACGGCCAGCUCGUGGUGUUGGUGGUGGACUUUCCGGGUGGUGGUACUCCUUUUUGGUUUGGUGCACGAUUUUCUUUUGUUUUGCCUUGUUUCGUUUGCUGUGUUUCUUUUCUUUUAGGACACUACCCCAAAUUGCACCCCCGUCCCUGAGUUGCGCUAACACUGACUUUUAAUGUGUGAGUGGUUUUAGACUAGUAUUUUCGAUUAACAAACAAUUGCAGAAUAAAUAAAAUUGUUACAUUGUGA